CUCCAGCAAUCUGAUUCUAGGAUUGUGGGAUUCUCCAGAAAGCCUGGAAUAAUAUGCCUCCAUUUGCUGCCAUUUAAUGAGUGCCAGCUCUGUGAAUGGUGCCUCACUUACCUCAGUUCAUUUAAUCCUCAACAUACCUCUGAGAUUCCUGUUUUACAGGUGAGACCCAGAAAGGUUAAGUGACUCACCCAAGGUCUCACAGUAAAAGGAUUCAAACUUGGAUUUUCCUACUCUUAAACCCCACAGCAUUCAUCAUAUGUUCAAUCGGACAAGGUCAAACAAAAUUGGUUAGGGUAAUACCAUCCUCCUAGGAGGCUUUUGAAAUGUGUUGGAAUGUAUUUUCAUGUGUCACAAUGACUGUUCUCCUGGCAUUUAGUGAGUGGGAACCUAGGAGGUUAAAAUCCUGCAAUGCAUGGAAGAACUGUCCUUUAUUGAGAAACACUAGGCCAGAAGUUUACAGGCAGAGAACUCAUCAUUCAUUCAAGAGAUAUUCCUUAAGCAUUUAUUAUGCAUGAUGCUAGAUGCUGAAGAUGAAAUAAUGAACAAAACUGCUUGUGAUCUCUGUCCACAAGGUGCUUAUAUUCUAGUCUGCAGCCUGAUAAUAAACACGUAUAGUAAUUACAAGUUGUGAUACGUAGUAUGAAGUACAAGCAGAGUAUCUUUAGAUGGCGGGGGGUGGGGAACAGAGGAUCAGGGAAAGAUCACAAAGGCUGACUAGGCCAGCUUCUCACCCUUUCAUGGGCAUACAAAUCACCUGGCAAAUGUGGUAAAUUGUGGGGUGGGGCCUAGGAGUCUGUAUUUUUGACAAGUUUCCAGGGGAUGCCAAGGCUACACAUCCUUGGACCAUCCUCUGAGCAGUGAGGGUGAAGGCAAUGGCAAAGAGUUUGGAUUUUAUUUUAAGCAAGGCAGGAAAGAUACCGUUGAAGGGCUGUAAACAAGUCAGUGAUGUGAACCCAGUUAUAUUUAAGAUCACUCCUGUUUCCUAGAUCUCAAGCAGAGAGAGGAAGAGGUUGGACCUACACUGUUUGACUGAAACCAGCUGGCCCACACUGUCACAGUCACAGCCAGGGUCUAAGGCUCAUUUCUGCGACUCACACUUGCCUCUCUCCGCUGGCUCCUCUGGCAGAAGCCUUUGGCUCCAAGCACAGACCAACCCAGUUGCCUUACAAGCUUGGGCGCCUUCGGGAAGUCUAGUACAGCUUGACAGGGCGUGGAUUCACACUCCCAGCACUCCGGCAUGCACACUGGUUGGGAACCUGGGAAAUGCUGGAAUCCUAUCGGAACGCGCAGAUCCUUCUCCCUCCCCCCAAAGACUGGAUGAUGUAAGCGUUUCGGCUAGCGGGGCUCUGGAGCAAAACAAGCCCCUCGCGCGCGGACCGACCUGCAGUGCCCGCUGCCGGCGCACGCACGACCCCCACCCCCACCCCGACUCGUGUUAUUGCUGUGCACACGCGGACCGCCGUGACGCGCGGGCAUUGUGUGCAGCGAGCCGAAAACAACGGCGAGCGCAGCCAGCGAGAAGAAGCGCCCCAAUAAAGCCAGACAGAUGUAGGGCCCGCUGUUUCUGUUCGCGGAGACCCAGACCCGACGCUGGAGGGGUGGGGGGGGUGGUACAGAGAGUGGACAGGGUAAAGUGGCCUCCGGGGGCUGCUCCUGUUUUCAGGAGGGGUAAUGGAGGGGCGGGCGGAUGGUCGCCUGGAGUUUGCUGGGGUCACUCCGCCGGGGUGAGCUGUUGAGUGGGCUAGGGCCUGGAGCUGGGAUCCCCUCUCCAGCAGCCAAGCCGGGCACGACGCGGCGCCCCCACGCGCUUGGGGGAAUCUGGGGGCUGUUGGCAUCACGUCAUACAGAACCAAACAGGGGCGGCGAAAAGAGGCGAGAGAACUAAAAAUACUCCCGCGGGGAGCCGGCCAAAGGAGGGGGACUGCGGGACCGAGGGGCUGAUUACGCACGCGAAGUUGACUUUGGCUAGGCGCUGAGGUGCCCAAGCCUCUCUCGGGGACUGCGGGCUUGCCGCGCGGACACCUUGAGAGAGGGGCGGGCAGGAAGCCCCUCGGCUUCCCCUGCCUUGAGAGCCCGCUCCGCCGCCGCCGGCCCGCCCUGCGCGGGGCAGCCCGGCGGGGUGCUCCUGGCCCUCUGCUUACGUGACUGGCGGCCACGCCGGAGCUCCGGCACCGGGUAAACAAGGAGGUGGCGGCAGCCAGGAGGUUGGGGGGGGGGCAGGAGAUCCGAUUGUCUGCGGGUGCGAAGGAGUGGGGAACGCAGAGGAAGCUCUGGUCGCCUCCCUAAUACCCUCGCUGGGGCGGGAGGGGGGGGCGACAAACUAGAUUCACCGCACACUGCCAAGGUGCCCUCUUGGGUGCACCCGAGCCAGAGCCGGCGCCCCGGGGCUAGGAGGCGGCAGGGGGCUAAAGAAAUCGCGCCCCUCCCCC
rnacentral:lncRNA from 1 species